CCUACGGGAGGCAGCAGUGAGGAAUAUUGGUCAAUGGGCGGGAGCCUGAACCAGCCAAGCCGCGUGAGGGAAGAAGGUACAGCGUAUCGUAAACCUCUUUUGUCAGGGAACAAAGGCGGGUACUAGUCCCCGUAUGAGGGUACCUGAAGAAUAAGCAUCGGCUAACUCCGUGCCAGCAGCCGCGGUAAUACGGAGGAUGCGAGCGUUAUCCGGAUUUAUUGGGUUUAAAGGGUGCGCAGGCGGCCUGUUAAGUCAGCGGUAAAAGCCCGGGGCUCAACCCCGGCGAGCCGUUGAAACUGGGGGGCUAGAGAUGGAUAGAAGUACGCGGAAUGCGCGGUGUAGCGGUGAAAUGCUUAGAUAUCGCGCAGAACCCCGAUUGCGAAGGCAGCGUACCGGCUCCACACUGACGCUGAGGCACGAAAGCGUGGGUAUCGAACAGGAUUAGAUACCCCAGUAGUC
rnacentral:rRNA from 1 species